GUAUGAACGGCUAAAUGAGGACAGAACUGUCUCCUUCGACCAAUCAAUGAACCUGAUCUCCUAGUACAAAAGCUAGAAUACACCCAUAAGACGAGAAGACCCUGUGGAGCUUAAAAUACUGACCCUGCAUCCCCACCCAGCCCAACAAGGACCACACCACAAGCAUGGGCACACAUUUUUAGUUGGGGCGACUGCGGAACCAAGCCCAGCUUCCACGACAAGGAGCACUAACUCCCCCAAAGGUCAACAAACCAACGUAAACCUUGACCCAGUAAUACUGACCAACGAACCAAGUUACCCCAGGGAUAACAGCGCCAUCCUCUUUAAGAGCCCAUAUCGCCAAGAGGGUUUACGACCUCGAUGUUGGAUCACCACCCCCAGGUGGUGCAACCGCUACCAAUGGUUCGUUUG
rnacentral:rRNA from 1 species